rnacentral:misc_RNA from 1 species
AAGUCGUAACAAGGUUUCCGUAGGUGAACCUGCGGAAGGAUCAUUAACACGUAUCCAAACGUUAAAACCCCCCCCGUGAACCUUCAUCCUGCUCUUGUAACCCGCGUAGUUCGCAAUCUCUGAUAAAUCAUAGCCCGGAAAGUUGUAGUGAUUCAGAGACCUCUGGCUACGUGCGAACAUUGGAACAGUUACAAUCGAGCGGUAGUUCUAUAGGCAAUGUUUCUCCAAGCAGAGUAGACCGUACACUCGGGCAGGAGCUUUGCCAUGCCCCCUAAUAACCCCACAGUUUAAUGUGAAGCUCAAUGUAAUACAUUGGGUAAAAAAACCGAACAGCUGUUAACAAUGGAUAUCUUGGUUCUC